rnacentral:lncRNA from 1 species
AGAGGAGAACCAGUAUACAGUGUCACCUAAAAAUAACAUUAGGCAUUGAAGCUGGCAACUUUUCCAAGCCUAUAGAUUCCCUCCUGAGUGUUAAUUUAUCUGCCCCAAAUCUUACAUAAUACUCUUUGACAUUAUGCGUCUGCCAACCAUAUGAUCCCAGAAGAGACUUAAGAUGCUGCUGUCACCAGCAUAAGAAGCAUUAAAACACUUGUAAAUUUUCACUGUAAUCGUAAGCCUUCUUCUGUACAUUUCAUCCAACAUAUCUGAAGCAGCUUUUGCCUUUCCAAGUUUCCAGCAUGCAUAUGCUAGACUAGUGUGUGUAACACUGUCUCCCAAUAUGCCCUUCUCUUGCAUGAGCUUAAAUAUUCUUUGAGCACAAUCAACCUUUUCUCUUUUGCAAAAUCUCCUUAUUAGUGCACACUAUAAGGAUAUAUCAGCACAAAGACCUCUUCUUACAAACUCGUCUGGGAGUCUGAUAACCGUCUCCUCCUUGUGUUGAUCACAGUAACCAUCUACAAGCCACGAAUAAGUGUGCUAACUAGGAGAAAAUCCUGCUUCAAGCAUGCUAAAUAAAAGCUCUUUGGCACUGUCCAUCUCCUGAAUUUUGCAGAAUCCAUGGAUCAACGCUUUGUAAGUAAACUUAUCUAGCUUCAAACCAGCAUCCACCAUUUUGCUCUUCACUUUUAAAGCUGACAGUAAAUCCCCUAUCUUGCAAUAAGCAUUAAUCAAUGUGUUACAUGUGACAUUAUCCGGUUCAAUCUUCCUUUCAUUCAUCUCAUUGAGGAGCUUAUUUGCAUCUCUUAUCCUGCCUUCCUCAUAUAACUUACGCAGAAUUGAAUUGUAAGUACCAACUGUGGGAUACAGCCCAUGUGCUUCCAUAACUUCAAGCAAUCUCAAUGCUUCAUCAAUGUCAUUCACUCUACAAUACUCGUCAAUCAAGGUAGUGUAAGUCACAAAGUUAGGAGUAGCAUUUUUAAUUUCCCUAAAAAGCCUCAGUGCCUCUAUCAUUCUACCUUCUCUACAAAAACCAUAAAUAAGUGAAUUAUAAGUAACAAUAUCCGGGCUUAUUCGUCCCCUAUCCAUUCUAUCUUGAACGCACAAAAGCUUCAUAAUGCAUACCCUUUUUGCAAUACAAUGAAAUUAACGUAUUGUAUUGAAAAGAUGAGGAAGAACACAUUUCGAUUCCAUUUCACUUAGCAACUUCUCUGCUUUCUCCACAUCCCCGGAUUUACAACAAGCAUGAAUCAACACACUGUAGACAUGAAUAUUAGCUGCAACUCCAAUUCUAACCAUCUUCUUAUAAACUUUUCACACUAUAUCAGUAAGCCUAUCCUUGACCAAAGAAUUCAAUAGGACAUUACAAGAAAAUUUGCUCCCAUAUAUUUGAUGAUACCGCUACUAGAAAUGUAGAUAAAAAACAACGGAAGCUCAAGCAUUUAUUUUAAAUAUGUGUAAAAUAUAUUUUAAAAUUAUCUUGAGAUGCAUUAAAGGAUGCUCACAUUUAAACCCAAACUUGAGAUAUUUCGAAUUUGAAUGCAAUUUAAAUGAAUUAUAAAAAAGAAAAUUUGAUUAUAUUCAGGACAAGUAUUGGAAAACCCAAUUAUUCUACAAGAUGGUUUCUUAUCACUUCUCAUCCUAAUCACCAACAAAAUGCAAGAUCAUGCUUCAUUCAUCGACAUAUUCUAAAUAAUACUUUGAUUCUGUGGCAUUUUUUUAGGAUUUUUUUUUUAAAAAAAUCAACAUAAACAAUGAAAUAACAAGCAUACUCAUAAAAUGAAUCGAAAGAACACUCAUAAAUUGAAGUGGAUGAAAAUAGAGAAAUUUCUGCAAUGCCGUAGGCAAAAGCAAAAAAAUUAUAACCACAAGAUGCUAAAAUAUUAGAAAUGCUCUUUGAUAGCAAAUACCUCCUCAAAUACAUGAAAGAUGGCAUUCCUCAGGUGCAGUGAAGAUACAGUCAAAGUCUUGCGGCAAACUAAUUAUCAGCAAAGCCUACUCUAAAUCAAAUGGUAACACAACUCAUGGUGGCCAGUCUCCUCUUUGAUGCAUAAAGCAGAGAACAACCUGCUUCAAAGUUCAUGUACAAAACUCCUCGUAUUAAUGAGUGGAAGCAGUUGCAGCAGUACUACCAAGCCCCAUCUUCUGCCCCAAGAGUGUGAGCUGCUCAACAAACUCUGCUCCAGUGAGAAUUUCUGUUGUUCCAUAGAUAAUAUGCUUGACAGGCUGCUGGCGCUGUGCAAGCUCUUGCAAGCCCCCAUACUCCAUAUAAUUACCGCCACCAAUCAUGAACACCAUGGCUUCUUUAAAUGGCCCUUUGAGAUGGCUACUACCAGCCCCUGACUUAGGAGAACGAGGAUCAAACACAAGGUAAGAGUCGAUUUCAGGAUUAGGUUUCCCUUCCAUCAAAGCUUCCACAAUCCUUGUUAAAGCAAGCUGCCUAUCGCUAGAUAAUAAGUUCUUAACACCAGCUGUCACAGCACUAAUUGACUGUCCAUAAAGCUUUUCGGCCCAAUCUACAAUAUGACUCCUACUUGCAGAAUUUGCUGAUGCUAAUGAAACAUUCAAGGACUUGAUUUUCUUCACAUACUGGAAUGCACAAGUAUCAACCUCAGACUCCCGAAGAGCUGCUUCCACUGAUUCAACUUCUGACUGGUUAAGGCUAUCGGAGGAUAUAAGGUAAAUGAUUGCAAAUCUCAGCUUAUCCAUCUUGGACCCCUUCCCUUUAAGCACACCCAAAAGUUCAUUACGAUCAAUCCCACCUCUGACCAUCAUGUCAUUCUCCUUUUUCGCAUAUGAAUCAAGAGACCUCUCCUUGAUCUCACCCAAUAACACAGUUGCAAUGUUUGUGUGCUUAUCAAUCACCUGCUUCCGCUCUGUCAACUCAGGCAGUGAGUUCACUGCAUUCAUCAAAUGUUUAGUAUUACCAAUCAGGUCUGUUCCAUCAAAUUCUGUCCCAUCCGUUCCACCAGUCCUCCUGUUCACCUCAUCAACAUCCUUCUUGUACUUAUUCAAUUGUGUCUCAAUCUCCACAGCAACUUCAGGAAAUUCCAGAGACCCAUUUGCAACCCAGAAAGGGUCUGAACUAUCCAACUCAUAUGACUUCAUCCCUCCCUUUUCCCCCUGCACGCUCAACCUAUUCAGCUUCAGUCCAAGCACAUCAUGAACAAGGGGGCGAUACCUAAAGUCAUGCUGUAUCCCAACUGCCAACUCAAAAUUCCUAUCAAAUAUACACAAAAUGGGCCUCUGAAAUGAGCUCAUAAAACCACCACCUUCUGAGAACAGGUUAUUCUUUGAUAACAAAUGAUCCCUCAAUCUCUGAUCCAAUGCUGAUGCCACCAUCUCUGCUGGCCCUCCCCGUGGGCACCUGAUAACGGGGACAACAGCCAGGGUUGCCAGCACACAAAACAAACCACUAACAAUCUUCUCAACUAUCUCCUCAAUCUCCCUAUCCCCAGCAGACGGAUCAUUUAAUUGAACAUAGCUAGAUUUCUGGGCUAAUGAAAACAAAUUAUCCUCCAAAGUCACAAACUCCAAAUAUUGAUCAUGCACCUUGGAAAUCCUCUGUAUAGAAUCCGAAUUCAGGGUCCCAGAUGCAAGAUCCUCAAGAAGUGGACGAGGGAUCGAAGAUGAAAAAUUCAGGUGGAAGCUAUCAUAAACCGAGCGAGUUGCAUCAGAAAUAAUUCUUUGAAUGUUGGUUUGACUUGGUUGAACAAAGUACACAGCUGGGACAUCAUGAACGGGUUUCCGAUCCUUAUCAAUAAGGAAAUAGAGAGUAACCCCAUGCUUGCGCAGAUCCUUGACAUGAAUCAACGGGGAUAAGAUAUUUUGGCAAAAUCUGUCAUAAAUCAAGAUCUUGUACACCUCUUCAUUGGCAGUACCAGUUGCAUUUACAGGUUGAUUUAGGUUUAGCAUCCGGAUUAUACAUUCUACAUUCAAAAUAAACAGAUCAAAAUAACAAACUAUCAGUUCAUUCAAUUCGUAGAAGAACAAGGAUCAACGUCGGUGAUUAUACAAGAAAAUUGAGAAAAGAACCGACUACCAGCGUUUAAGCUUGAAGGAAGAAUGAGAAUCUAGAGCAAAGAAAAAUUACCGGUUUGUUUUUGACGGAGGUUGAGAGCCAUGACCGUGAAAACUCUGAUCUUUGUUGCCGCUCGCUAAGCCAAGUAUUUCUUCCAAAGCUCGGUGCAAGGAUUGAGAGUUGUUUCUGCUUGCUUCAGUAGCGGUGGACGUGGUGCUGUCUAGAGGAGAAGAGGCCUAAAACGCCCACUCAACUUGGCAAUAAUUGCAGCCCAUGGGCUGAAAUAGUUUGGUAAUUUCAUGAAGGCCAAGCCCAUUAACAUUUUUAUUUUUUUUUAUUUUUAUGAAAUAUGAUUGAUUGAUUAUCUCCAUUAUAUAUCAUUUUAAUUUUGUAAGAUAUUGUAAUAACAAUUCAUUAUUUUAUUUCCAAACUAACAAAUCCGGAUUUUCUAAAUUGAAAUCUUAACUUAAAAGAAAAUUGUUAAUUAAAGCCUUACAUUUGGAAUUUUCCUUGUUAAUUAGGUAUUUUUUUAUUUAAAGAUAAUCAUUAAACUUUUCCUUUUUCUUCUUUCCAUAUAAUAAUAAACCUCCAGCUUUCUCGGUGUUAACGGAAACAAUACAAUGAGAAAUUAUUUUAUUAUUUUUUAUAAUUUAUUGUUAAUUUAAUAAAUCAAUCAAUGUAUUAAAAAAUUUGAUAACUUGGACAACCAUGUGAAGCAAAAACGGUGAUAUCUCAAAGUCAUCUAAGACUCUGUUAUAAUAUCAUUCUGGUAGCGUGUUCAUGAGUACCAUAUAAUUUCUUCACUGUUCAUUUACAAACUCUUUUUGCAACAAGACAUGGCACAUCUUAACUUCAUCUGUUUAGCUUUAGAAGGUAACAGUUUCAUCACUCUUUAUUUAUCUAUUUUCCAAUUUUAAUUUAACAAAGUAUACUUUUGCACUCCAGACAUUGAAGGUUUAUUACACAUGCCUAUCGGUUGAAGAAAAGCUAGUGGUGCUACAAGUGCUCCAAAUCCAUGGUUCAAAUUUAUUUUAUUGCUAGCAUAACCAGUGUAUAUUUUUUAAGGCAAAUUUAUUGAAGCCCAAAGUGCUCACUUCCCACUAUGUGCUAGUUUACACUCACCACUUCAAGAUCACGAUGCUACCAGUUCUCCACGAAAAAGGGAUAUGUGCCCAGAACUGUGCAUUAGUUUGCAUCAUGAUUUGAAAUCUCACAUUCUCAUCAGAACCUUUUCCAGUUGAAUUCCAGCUAAGCCUUAUACAUAUCCGCUCAUCAACAAAGAGUAUUGGCAAAGAGAAGUCGCAAUGCAUUAGCAAGAAGACAGCUGCUUUAUGUUUACAAUGAACUCCACAUUUUGGCCAUGAACAGACGUGAUUCAUGCCGCUAUCUAUGUCUUCUGGACAUUAAAAACACUUACACAAAUCUAUACAUCAAGUUUCUCCUUACAGUUUUGGUUCUCUAGAACUUUAUUGUAUGGUCAGGAAGAAUAUAGUUGCAAUCAUCUUCUUCUUAGUCCAAUCAACAUCUGACAUCUCAUGCUGAGAGAAGAACCAGUAUACAGUAUCACCUAAAAAUAACAUUAGGCAUUGAAGCUGGCAACUUGUCCAGGCCUUAGAUUCCCUCAUGAGUGUUAAUUUAUCUGCUCCAAAUCUUUUAAUAUACUCUUUGACAUUAAGCGUCUGCCAACCAUAUGAUCCCAGAAGAGACUUAAGAUGCUGCUGUCACCAGCAUAAGAAGCAUUAAAACACUUGUAAAU